CAUGCUGCAGAGGGCAUGUGUUAGUGUGUAAAUGGAGAGUUACACACUCAAUAUGGGAAUGGGGUUUGUGGCCACCCUUCUUUCUGUAAAUGCUGAGAGAGCACCAAGAGGCACCCAGACCCAGUCAUCCAAGAACUGUCAUCUGAUCUGAGGGCCACUAUUGCCACACAUGGGGCGUAUCGCCCUAAAACUGACCCCAAAACAGCCACCAAGCACAGUACUGCCCACAGUCCUGCCCACAGUCCUGCUCAACCUGCAGUUCGCUGUUCAAAAACUCUAGACCCCAGGUCUCUUCACCUCCAAUUCCAGGAUCAUUAGAAAAUAACAGCUAGGUGAGUUUGAUCCGAGUUGGAGCUAAACUCUGAAGCAGACUGGACCUCCAGGGCAAGAUUUGAGGAAUCCUGUAGUACAUCUUUUGUCUGAGUAGACCUCUGACCCAGACAUCCCCACUUGAGCCGUAGCUAUGCAUUCACUGACCCACUCUGUUAGAGAUGGAGACAAGGAGGCAUUGCAGAACAAGGACAAACCACUAACACUCUUUCUGGAAAACCAGGAACAUGGAGACUCCUUUGUGUAUCUGUCUGCCAUUCAAGAUUCUGCAGGGACAGGUUCUCCCUAGAGACAUGCCUCAAAGGGGGCGAGGUUUUAAAGAGAGCCAGCAGGGCCAUGGGUGAGCACCAG